UAUUGUCACGAUUCGAUAAGGACUCGGCACAUGUAUAGAAUUUAACUAUAACAACAUUCUUGCAUGUAAAAGAAAAACUAUAACAAUAGUGGCUCUUUAGAGUUAUGAUGUGCAAAAAAAGAGAGUUAAGGAUGUGCAUGUGAUAUUUAUAUUCUAUAUUUUUUUGUAACUCAGUGCAUGUGAUAUUACUACAUAGAAAGUGUUAGUGUUGGAAUUGCCAGAUGUGUAUGUAUUCAUCUAACAUUGUUGUCGCUCAUUUAAGAACUUUGAUUCAAUUUGCCAACCAGCUUAGAGAUUUUUAAAAACUUGCAAGCAUGUGCUACCACGUUGGUUUCUCAACUGUCUAUAUAUGAAUGAUUACACACUAUUUAAAUAUAUACGUCUAUAACAAGUAAUUGUAAAUAGUUACGCAUCCAUCCUAAACUCCUUUUUUUUUUCGACAACCAUCCUAAACUCCUAAUUAUUAUACACUGUUGUGUUUGAAGCAGUUAUUGUUUAUCCAUUUUCGCAACUACCACCUACCCACCUAACCCAAAGACUCAAAGGCCUGUCACUGUCAGAGUUUUCAUAGACACGUGACAUUUUCAACUUAAUGGUUUCAUACAACUCAUAUUACUAAAAGUUGCAUCAAUAUAAUUAAAGUAGCAGUAUAACAAAUGAUUCGAUUUAGCCACACUUGCAUGUUAUAACACGUAACAAGGAUGUGAAAGCGAAUUUAAUUGAGGAAAUUAUCUACCUGUAAAUUGUAUUAAAUGCUUAUUAAGUGAGACAUGGCCGGAAAUAAUCAAUACAGUAACUUUUAAAUUUAAUGAGCUGUCGUUAGCCUUUUCAAACAUAUGAACGUUGAAUUUAAGGAAGAGUCCUAGAUUUUAUUUUUCCAUGAAUCAUGAUUACUCAUAACAAAUAGUCAAAACCACUAAACCGGACUAAACCAACCAGAAUGACUAAAACAUAAUAUUUUCUCCGUAUUAAUUAUUAUCAGACAAAUUAAAGAAUAUAUAAUAAUAUACCUGAAGAAGCUGUUUAGCGAGAUCAAUGGAGAUAAGACCAGCACUACAACCCAUUCCACCGAGAUUAUAGCUCAAUAUAUUCCCUCUAAGCUUAUACUUAUUCACGAUCAUCGCAGAAAGUGACGGAGUCGGAUUAAACAAACUACAAUUCACCACAAGAAUCCCAAUAUCCUUCGGUUUAAUACCGGUUUUCUCAAGAACAGCGUCGAUAGCUCCGAA